GCUUUUAUAGGAUAACAGCCUAUCCAUUGGUCUUAGGAACCAAAAACUCUUGGUGCAAGUCCAAGUAAAAGCU
rnacentral:tRNA from 1 species